GUGUUUUACUGUGUGUUUUCACUGGAAGACAAAAAAUAGUUGCUGGAAUGUCAGUUUUUUUGUACUGAAGAAAUUAAAAGUAUGAAAAAAAGAAUACUCUUUUACAUAUUGAUUUUACAUUAAUGAUUUUUCUCAAGAAUUGAAUUAAGCGUUACUAGCAAUUGAAGUAAGUUUAAAAUGCGAUUUUAAUUGGGUUGGCAAAAAUAUGUAUUGUAACGUCAGUAUAACUACUUAUAGUAUCUCCCCUAGUGAUGAACAUGCAAAUUUAUAUUUAUAUCAUAACUAACGUUUAGUCACUUGAUUACUUUUAAUUUCCAUAAUACAUUUCACCCAUGUUUCUUUUAUCUAAAUUUUUACUAUAUAAAGAGCCAUAAAUUUCUUAUCAGCAGUUAUAAUUUUGGUAAUUGUCAAGUACAGUGAUCAGCCUACUUAAACUCCGAAUUGACGACGCAUGUCAAUUUGGUUUGUUCAAUUUAAAAAGAUUUUUAUUUAAUUUAUUUGUUCACUCUUUUGAGUCUACUAAAUGUGGAAUUUGUGUUCAUGAAAUUACGCAUAAAACUAUAAACUGCAUGAUAACGCAACAUAAUUUCAUAAACGCUACAAAAACCCCACAUAUAAUCAUCUGAACAUACUGUAUAUCUCACACAUAUAUGAAUACCUGCACACUUCGAAAGUACUCGCGGAGUUAGUUGGCUAAUGCGUGAAUUUAAUCGUAAACUCUAUUAUAAAAAUAACUAAAUUUUGCGGGUUAAUUAUGUGAAAUUUUAUCACUUUUAAUUGCUUUAGUUUAAGUUAUGUCAUUUCAUAUUCGAAAUAAAACUGGAUACUAGUGGGACACUUUCGUAAUUUUUUACUUGAUUAAAGCGAUAUUUCAUAAAUCCCGGUAACUUGAGUCAGUGAAUUACAACAUAGUAACCGAAACGGAAUAUACUCGUAUAGAUCAACUUCUAUUUUAUAUUAGUUUUAAUAAGAAAUUGAAUGUGUUUACACCUUAAGUUUUUUCAAGCUAAGCCUUAAUUUAGACAAUUAACACAUCGAAAAUGGUAUGUUUAACAAUUUAUCAAAUUGAAGGUUUGUCCAAAAUAUCUAUUACCUUUUCAAACCCCUUCUUAGAUAUUUAGAUAUACAGCGGUCAGGUAAUGAUCAAAAGAAUAAGAUUUUCUAAACAAAUUUCGACUUUUUAAGCCACUCUGAAGUGAAAAUUUUGUUACAAAAAAACGACGCCCAUUUGUUAAAAAAACAAAAACUCGACCAGUCCUUCGAUCAAUACGCAUCUAUUGUAAUUAUACAUUUUUGAAUUUUGGUUUUUGAAUUUGAGAUAGUUUUAAGCGGAAACAUCUUCCUCAACGCCAAACAACAUUUUCGGAGAACUUCCAGUAGAUCGGCUAGGAGAGUAAGGGAAUCCAAAAUUUUUCAGAAUUAAGCAGCGAUUAUUAAAGUAUAUUAAUUUCUGUAAGUUUACAUUAUUAUUUUUUAAUUAUAAAAUAAAAUACAUUUCCCAAGAAAUAAAUUCAAGAUACUAUUUAAAUAAAUCUUCCAGUGAUAUCAAAUACAUUUUUUUUACUUCAAUUUCAGUUUUUGAAAAUGAGGAAAGUUGGAAGGAAAAUAUAUAAUUUAAUAUGGUUGAGUAUUCUGUGCUGCGUACAUAUCUGGUUAGCUGGGUAUAUUCCCAUUUAUCCUUCAAUUUAUGUGCGGGAUAUUCUACAUGGAACUGGAAAAACCCGAGUCGCUUUUUGUUGAUGUUUAACGAUUCCCAAUGAAAUAUUUCGAUAAUAUUCAAUAAAACCAAUUACUCUGUGGUAAAAGUCCAGCUUGAUAUAGAUAGUGUUCUAUUUGAAACUAUUGUAAACCUUGCCUUUAUUAAUUUAUAUGCCACCAAAAAGGUUUUCUUUUGUAAAUUUAUAAAGUUUUAAGUAAAAUUUAACUUUAAACCAUAAUAUUGCAAGUUAAUUAAAAGUAACAAUAUAUUUUUCACUUUAAUCUCAAAUAUAGUACGACAGCUUAGCGUGAAGCUUAUGUUCGAACUGUACGCAUAAACAGCUAGAUGGAACUACUAGCUAAAUAGUAAAAAUAUUUUAUGUAUUAAAAAAAUAUAUUAUUCAAUAGCAAAGCAAGCUUAUAAUUCUAAAAUCGUGAUAAAGCCGAUUUGUCUUCAAUUUUUUCUAAAUAAAUUGCUUUCAUGCACAGCAAAUACGUGUACUUAAGGCUCGGGCACUUAAGUAAAUAAGGCGUUUAGCAUUAAGUUCAUAUUGUUUUAUUAUCUUUUUAAUAUCAAUUAAACGAGUAGAAUGAAAAACGCUACAAAUGAAAUAUACUAAACGCCAUGAGAAAUUUAAAAACAAUCAAUUCGUGACGCAGUCAAUCACGAUAAAUGUGACGAGUACUCGUAUUUAGACAAGUGUGGACCCAUUACAGUAAUACACCCAUUGUAUGUAUUACUGACCUUGAAUCUGUAACAGCUGUAUGCCUUGUGCAAGUAACCCAAAUGUGGGUGGCAGGUGAUCGCAUGUACCUUUAUAUAAAUACGUUUAUGUAUAAAUAGAUUGCAUGAUCGAUAGGCAUGCGCAUGGUAGGCAGUGAAUACACGAGUCCAGCAGGUUAAAUAAAUGUUGGGAUAAAAGCGGUAACUUAUACCUAUGACUAUUUAUAUCUCAAUAUACUUUUAACUAGUAUACAAAGCAUGACUAGUCCAUUCAUUACUGUUCUUAGUUUUAAAAAAUACGUAAAAAAAUGUAUAUUUCUGACAAGCCUGUUGAAGUUACGAAAGAAAAACAUAACAGAGAUGUAAAAAUUCUUUUGUAAUUCCUUGGAAAAUUACCAAGCCACAAGAAGACUGGUAGGGACUGGUCUAGUGCUGCUAGUUGAGCAAGCACACAAUACAGUUAGCAGUUCAAGGUUAAGCGUAAUUACGGCUGAAGAACAUUAAGCAGCGCUUGCUUAAAGUCUGCGGCUAGUGGCAGAGUCCAGCUAAGGCUGACGAAGCGGCAAUGAAGUGAAAGUGAACUGAGUCAUAAAAAGGUCGUAACCUGUCGUGAGCUGCUUAGUGUUUAAUUGAUCGAGUCUGUAGCCUGUAUUGUGUUUUGGGCAUAUAUUAUUGCUGAUAUAUUAUUAAGUUAUAAUAUUUGCUGAGGUUUAGUCUUAAAAAUUAAGGAUGUUAUAAUAUUUUGUUAUGAGUAAAGGAUUUUUCAUAAGUCA